GCCCAUUUAGAGCAGUGGUUAGCUCGCUGGCCUCCGAUUAUCCAUGGUAGCCAGAAGUCGCGGGUUCGAAUCCUGCAAUGGGUA